rnacentral:rRNA from 1 species
UACGAAGGGGGCUAGCGUUGCUCGGAAUCACUGGGCGUAAAGCGCACGUAGGCCGUUAGCUAAGUCAGGGGUGAAAUCCUGGAGCUCAACUCCAGAACUGCCUUUGAUACUGGCGGACUCGAGUCCGGGAGAGGUGAGUGGAACUGCGAGUGUAGAGGUGAAAUUCGUAGAUAUUCGCAAGAACACCAGUGGCGAAGGCGGCUCACUGGCCCGGUACUGACGCUGAGGUGCGAAAGCGUGGGGAGCAAACAGG